rnacentral:lncRNA from 1 species
CCUCUUCUCUCUCCCUAUUUUCUAGAUUACAACUAGAACUAACUAGAACUAGAACUAGAGGAACUAGAACUAGAACUAGAUGAACUAGAACUAGAUCUAGAUGAACUAGAGGUAGAACUAGAAGAACUAGAGGGAUCCUCUCUACUUGGAUGAAGAAUUGAAACCCUAACUUUGAUUCUGUAGAAGAGGUAUGCCUCCAGGGGCUGGUGGGGGUCUGCUUAUAUAGUCCAGGAAGAGUAGCCCCCAAGAAAUCUAGGAAGAGUAGCUCCCAAGAAAUCUAGGAAGAGUAGCUCCCAAGGAAUUUCCACGUUAUUCUCCACCAUCCGAUCAAACCGACAUUAAUCGCGUGAUUUUCCUUGAUCCAUAGAGUCGGUGGAGCACGAUCCGCGAAGUUGACCCUGAUUGGGCACUGUAGCAGGGCGGGCGCCCAGGAGAGUAGGGCGGGCGCCCUGCCUCCGAGCCCGAUCGCCUUCCCGUUCGUUCCCGUGGCUUCUGGAGUCUUCUAGAUGGUAGAAAAUUACGCGGCACGUUAAUAUCUCUAUGUAAUCUCGACAUGUGGGCCUUUCUUCCAUAUUUCCUGAUAACCCCCUGCAGAAAUAGACAAACACCAAAACUCAUGGAAUUCUGUCAGAUAAAACCCUAAGUCUAGGUGUUGGUUGCAUUUGGAUCCUUUUCCAUGAUUAGUUGAUGGUUAAAUGUGAGCAUUAAGGACCGUCAACAAGCUCCCCCAAGCUUAACCUUUGCUCGUCCCUGAGCAAAGCUAAAAUCAGCAAGAAAUCAGGGUUACUUUUAUGCCUCUUACUACAGUGUUUUUAAGUUAUCACUAAGGUCUUAAGUGAUUGAAAAACAGAACGAUCAAGUCAAGCACUAUGUCUCAAGUUCUUUUGUCUUACCUUUGUUCUGGAGUUUUUUAUAAGUCUGCAAAAUAAAACUGAAGCAUUUGCCUUCUUCUCGAAAGAUAUAUAAGUAGAGCUUUAAAAGUUUUAGCAUACUUACUUUGCAUUUUGCUAUGUCAAUGCUCGAAGCAAGGGAGAGGAAUGUCAUACUCCUAGAUCAAGACCUUUGACCUUUUUGAGAAGUUUGUCAUCUCUUACUGGCAUAUUGCUUAUUAGAGGGACCAUGGGCUAUCUUUUUUUCUUUUUUUUUCUCUUUUUUUUCAGUCUCUUUAUUUUUUUUUCAAGUGGGCAGCAAGUAUCCCUAAUUCUACUGUCGGACACAUGUCCAUUUUUUCCACUCAGGUUGGUAUCUUUGUACCCCUAAUUCUACUUCGGACACUUGUCCAUUUUUACCUCUCGUCUCACUCUUUUUUUUCUUUUGAAUCAAAUUUUUACAUAGUCCCAUGCCUCUAACGCAAUAAUACUUUGGAAGAGUGAAUCUUUUAUUUUUAAAACAAAAAGAUCUUGAUCUUUGAAGCAUGAUAAGUCUCUCAACCAAAACUACAAGAAUUAACAAUGGCUUGAACAGAGCAAGUGCCUAUAGUUUUAAUAUUUAUAUCUAUUAAGACUCUAGGUAUUAUGUCAAAUAGAAUCUCAUUUAUUUUUAGAUUUUCUGAAUUUUUAGAUUUUCAAAAGAUAAAAUCUCCAGAACUCUAGCAAAACUUGGAACAAGUUAAAUAGUAGCUUAGAUCUUCUCAUAUCAUGUUUGUCAAUUACCUAGACUUGGAUCAAACUUUCUUUUUAUUUUAUUUAAAACUUAGGAUUACACAAAACUAUUGUAUAUUACUCAAAAGAAAAACUUUGUUUGGUUUUAUGGUUAUGCAUUUUUUUAUUUCUGAAUACUAGUAAAUAAAACUAAGAAAGAAAAGUAAUACUUAUCUAGAUACACGUGGGGGUGCCUCCCCCAAGCUGGAUGUUGACAUAGUCGUUCACUCUUGUGGCCUGCAUGGUUGGUCUCACUCUUCUUAAGCCUCAAAAUCUUGCACAACCCAAAUAGACAACAAAACUCGUGGAGCAUGUUAAGGAUUAGGUAAUUAUCUAGAGCUUAUGAGAGCUUAAUAUGAGAAUUCUAUGAACUCAAUCACAUCAAGUUCCUCUACCAGGUUAUUUUGUGGCUCGAGAUAGAUUUUCAAGCGUUGACCAUUUACCUUAAAAGUGUUACCUAUGUCAUCUUGGAUGGUAAUGGCUCCAUGAGUUGAAGUGUCAAUAACCUUGUAUGGUCCAUCCCACUUACUUCGUAGCUUACCAUGCCCAAAGAGCUUAACUCUUGAAUUGAAUAGUAGAACCUUAUCUCCAGGCUUAAACUCCUUGUGCUUGAUUCUCUUAUCAUGCCAUCGUUUUGUUCUUUCUUUAUAGAUCCUUGAAUUGUGGUAGGCUUUCUCUCACCAUUCUUCUAGCUCAGAUAGUUGCAUCAGACGAUUCUCGCUAGCAAGGUGGUGAUCCAUGUUCCAUUUCUUGAGUGCCCAAUGAGCCUUAAACUCUACUUCCACAGGCAAAUGACAAGUUUUUCCAUAUACAAGUUGAUAAGGUGACAUGCCUAUGGGUGUUUUGAAUGCAGUUCUAUAUGCCCAAAGUGCAUCAGGAAGUUUGUCCUUCCACCCCUUACCCAUCUCAUCUAUGGUCUUUUGUAAAAUAUUUUUGAUUUGUUUGUUAGAUGUUUCGGCUUGACCGCUAGUCUGAGGAUGGUAUGGUGUUGCGACGUUGUGUCGAACUCCAUGAUCGGCUAGGUACUUCCGGAAGAUUUUAUCGAUGAAGUGGGAACCUCCAUCGCUUAUAACUAUCCGGGGUAUACCAAAGCGAGGAAAGAUUACUUCAUGGAACAUUCUCUUGGCAUGUUUUGAAUCAGCUGAUCGACAAGGUAGGGCUUCUACCCAUUUGGACACAUAGUCCACAGCUACUAAGAUAUACUCGCAAUUCCUGGACAUAGGGAAUGGCCCCAUGAAAUCAAUGCCCCAAACAUCAAAAAGUUCUACUUGAAGAUUAUUUGUGAGAGGCAUUUCAUUUUGUGAGUUAAUAUUCCCAUGUUUUUGACACCGGUGGCAUCUCCUGACAAAGUCCUUUGUAUCUUCAUACAUCGUUGGCCAGAAAAAACCACUUUGCCAAAUUUUAGCAUGUGUCCGAAAUGCUCCAUAGUGUCCUCCAUAUGGCGAGGCAUGGCAUCUUUCCAUAAUUUGAGUAGCCUCAGCCAUAGGAACACACCUUCUCAAGAGUCCAUCAGCGCAGACUCGGAAAAGAUAUGGCUCAUCCCAAAGGUGGAAACGACUAUCGUGAAGCAACUUCCUUUUGUUUGCACCAGGUGGGACAUAGCCUUUUACUAUAAAGUUUACGAUGUCUGCGUACCAUGGAUCUGCAUGUGUUAUCUUAAGCAGGGUGUCAUCCCUUAGGUAGUCAUUUAUGGGAAGCUCAUCAUGUGUUUCCUUAUAUUGAAGCCUAGACAAGUGGUCGGCUACGGAGUUCUCUACUCCCUUCCUAUCUCGGAUUUCUAUGUCAAAGUCUUGGAGUAGAAGAAUCCAUCGAAUUAGACGAGGCUUAGCAUCUUUCUUAUUGAGGAGGUACUUGAGAGCAGCAUGGUCUGAAUAGAUGAUUAUCUUUGCCCCCACUAAGUAAGAUCUAAACUUGUCUAUAGCAAAGACAACAGCCAAAAGCUCUUUUUCAGUUGUAGUGUAAUUGAGCUGUGGUCCAGACAAGGUUUUGCUAGCGUAGGAUAUGCCAUAAUGCUUUUUAUCCUUGGUUUGUCCUAAAACGGCACCAACCGCAAAAUCGCUAGCAUCACACAUGAUCUCAAAAGGAAGAUUUCAAUCAGGUGGUUGGAUAAUCGGGGCUGAGAUGAGUGCUUUCUUAAGAGUUUGAAAAGAUUCAUGACACUCAUCGCUAAAAAUGAAAGGUGUGUCCUUAGCUAGGAGAUUAGUUAGGGGUCUAGCAAUUUGAGAGAAAUUCUUGAUAAAGCGUCUAUAGAACCCUGCAUGUCCCAAAAAGCUACGGAUUCCUUUCACAUUCGUGGGAGGUGGAAGUUUUUCAAUAACUUCAAUCUUUGCUUUGUCCACCUCUAUACCACGUUCGGACACUUUAUGUCCUAGCACUAUUCCUUCCUGAACCAUAAAAUGGCAUUUCUCCCAGUUCAGGAUUAAGUGCUUUUCUUCACAUCGCUGCAAGACUUUAUCUAAAUUCUCCAAACAAUGAUCGAAGGUUUUGCCAUAGACGGUAAAAUCAUCCAUGAAAACCUCCAUGAUCUUCUCAAUCAUGUCCGAGAAAAUAGACAUCAUGCACCGUUGGAAAGAAGCUGGAGCAUUGCACAAUCCGAACGACAUUCGUCGGUAUGCAUAAGUUCCAUACGGGCAUGUAAAGGUAGUCUUUUCUUGGUCAUCUGGAUGGAUUGGGAUUUGGUGAUAUCCAGAAUAACCAUCAAGGAAACAAAAGAAAGAGUGGUUUGCAAGCCGUUCCAACAUUUCAUCAAUGAAGGGUAACGGAAAGUGAUCUUUCUUUGUAGCCUUGUUGAGUUUUCGAUAGUCAAUACACAUACACCACCCAGUAACAAUUCGUUGAGGGAUGAGUUCAUUCUUCUCAUUCCUAACGACCGUCAUUCCUCCUUUCUUUGGCACUACUUGGACAGGGCUAACCCACUCACUAUGUGGCACAGGAUAAAUAAUCCCAGCACGAUAGAGUUUGAGGACCUCUUUCUUAACAACCUCUCGCAUAGCAUUGUUAAGUCUCCGUUGUGGUUCCCUUGAAGGUGUAGAAUUGGGAUCAAUAGGGAUACGAUGAGUACAGAGAAUGGGACUAAUGCCCGUGAGAUCUUCGAGAGAGUAGCCAAAUGCUGAUCUAUGCCUUUCAAGAAUAGUGACAAGUUGUUGUGUUUCAUAAUCGGAAAGCUUGUCACUGAUAAUUACUGGAGUUUUUGGGUUAUUGUGCAAAAAGACAUAUCUAAGGCCAGAAGGAAGAGGUUUUAACUCUAUCGAAGGAGGUGAAGGUUGUUCAUUUUUGUCUAGCUCAACGGGUUCUACCAACUCUUCUUCUUCUUGAACAAAGUGUUCAUGAUUAAAGAAUGGUUGGGCCAUCUCCUCUUGAGUCAACAUUAAGAUCUCCUCAAUAGGAUCUGGUAUAAGUUUGGGUUCCACUAUCGUGUUAAUUGAUCUAGCAAGAGGAACAAUAAUAGUAGAAUUCCCAACCUUGAAGUCUAAAUGACCUCGUUGUGGUUGUUCUUGUAGAAGUUUCAUGAUUGGUCUACCAAUCAAGAGAGGAAUCUCCGGUAUGUCAAAAAUUUGAAAAUCUAGGCAUAUUCCAGAGUCCUUGAUUCCAACAGGAACUGCCCUUAAUACCCCAUGGCUUUCUAGAAUUAAUCUAGAUGGACUUUGUAAAAGCUUUUGGGAUGGGGUUAUGGACUCGUUGGGAUAAAGAGUGUCAGCUAACUCCUUGGAAAUAACAUUUAUCCCAACAUAUGGAUUGUAGUGGACCUUCCUAGUGGACCCUCUAAUUUGGCACAGAAGAAUGGUUGAAGGAAUGAUGAUUCGAGCUACCUCAGGGGACAGCUCCGCUUCUGUUAGCCAUUCAUAACUCAGAAUAGCCGAAAGGCUUUUGAUGUGUUCAAUGUCAACAGAUUCUACUCUUAGAACGGAUUGAGUGGUCCUUGCUAGAGGUCGUGUUUGGAUAGGAAAAUUUGAGGUGUUUCCAUAAUCUUCAAAAAGAUUUUCCUCGAAUUCAAAGGGAUGCUCUAAAGGUGGUAGUUCAUCAUCCCUUAAUUGGUUUCGCAUUCCCUUAUCAGGAGGUUUCUCUACAACCAAAUUAAUAGGUGGGUCAGGUGGAAUUUCUAACUUGGUUGCAAGUUCCUCAUCUUUUGGUUUAGGAUCAGCUUCGACUUCUUUUUCUUCUUCAGGAAACUCAUCAUAAAUGCCUGUGUAAGGGGUAUUUUCAAGGAUUCUUUCUAGGAUAGCUCUCCCCUCAUCUGUGAGUUUGUGUGUGAAUGAGCCUCCUGAAGCAAUGUCGAGGUGAAGAGCAGCUUCCUUGUUUAGACCACGAUAAAAGUGGUAGUACAGUACAUGGUCAGGCAGGGAAAGGUUUGGACCGGAAUUGGUAAGGCUUGUGAACCUAGCCCAAGCUGCUCCUAAAGUUUCCUUCUCUCUUUGUUUGAAUGUAAGAAUUUCAAUUCUAAGGUCAGCAAUUCGAAAAAGUGGGAAGAAAGCGAGACAAAAGUUGUCCCGAAGUUCAUCCCAACUUCCAUUAACGCCUCCUACAGAAUGAGCAUACCACUUCUUUGCUCUUCCCAAAAGGGAGAACAGAAAUAAUUUCCAUUUAAGGGUUUCUUGUGUCAUGCCAGAAAUAGAUCGGCAAGAGCACAACUGCUCGAAUUCUCUAAGGUGGGUGUAUGGAUCUUCAUCUACUUGCCCAGAGAAGGGUUGCUCCUGAAUCAUGGCUAUUAGAUCAGGGCCGAGGUCGUAGCCAUCUGUAAGAAUUGGAUGUGAUGAUGGUGGUGGCUCUAAUAACUCGCCCUUUGGAGCAAAUAAUUUAUAGAUAGGAGUGAAAUCCACGUGGUGUGGUGAAAAUGGUAAGGUGAGUGUGGUAAAAAAAAAGGAAAAGAAAAAGGAUACACGGACGACUUGGUUCGAAACUAGCACAGCUACCGUUCCCCGGCAACGGCGCCAGAAAGCUUGUUGGGUAUUUUAAACGCAAACAGAAAAAUCCGCAAGCGCACGGAUACCGAUGUAGCUUUCACCCGGGAGUAUUCCAGAGUAUCGAUUUUCCACAGGAAACGUGAGUAUACUAAUUAAGAUUCAAGAUCGCCCAAGGAUAACUAUAUAAUUAUUUUUGGUUGGAAGAGAGGAAGUUUCCUAAGAGUUCUCUAGUUGAUCUAAGAAUUAAGAAUUACUUCAAGAUUAUCUAUUUCGGGACAUCAGAGCACUAACCACAGAAAGAGAUGAGAAGGGGGCUAGGAAGCUCCGACUACGGUCCUACAAACACCGAUCCGAACGAGGUGGAAUACGUCGACCGUUAGGGCUGUCACUACCCUAAGGCUACCACAACAAUCCGCAGGAUUGGGUGCAAUUCCAGGUAAUUGCAAGACUAAACACCACGUCUAAUCUAUUAAUUACUACUCUAAUGUUGCAAAGAUUAGAGCACUUGAUGCAAGCGGGAAUCCAAUAAAUAACUUGAAUGUAAAUAAAAGUAAUUAAAGAACUCAGGAUUAUGAAUUGAAUAACCUGGAGAUCGAUGAAGAACGAACCAGUUGCUACAAAAGUACAAUGUUGAGGAAGAUCCGACAGAUCCAUCUCCUCCUCCUCCACUCUCCUCUUCUCUCUCCCUAUUUUCUAGAUUACAACUAGAACUAACUAGAACUAGAACUAGAGGAACUAGAACUAGAACUAGAUGAACUAGAACUAGAUCUAGAUGAACUAGAGGUAGAACUAGAAGAACUAGAGGGAUCCUCUCUACUUGGAUGAAGAAUUGAAACCCUAACUUUGAUUCUGUAGAAGAGGUAUGCCUCCAGGGGCUGGUGGGGGUCUGCUUAUAUAGUCCAGGAAGAGUAGCCCCCAAGAAAUCUAGGAAGAGUAGCUCCCAAGAAAUCUAGGAAGAGUAGCUCCCAAGGAAUUUCCACGUUAUUCUCCACCAUCUGAUCAAACCGACAUUAAUCGCGUGAUUUUCCUUGAUCCAUAGAGUCGGUGGAGCACGAUCCGCGAAGUUGACCCUGAUUGGGCACUGUAGCAGGGCGGGCGCCCAGGAGAGUAGGAUGGGCGCCCUGCCUCCGAGCCCGAUCGCCUUCCCGUUCGUUCCCGUGGCUUCUGGAGUCUUCUAGAUGGUAGAAAAUUACGCGGCACGUUAAUAUCUCUAUGUAAUCUCGACAUGUGGGCCUUUCUUCCAUAUUUCCUGAUAACCCCCUGCAGAAAUAGACAAACACCAAAACUCAUGGAAUUCUGUCAGAUAAAACCCUAAGUCUAGGUGUUGGUUGCAUUUGGAUCCUUUUCCAUGAUUAGUUGAUGGUUAAAUGUGAGCAUUAAGGACCGUCAACAAGCUCCCCCAAGCUUAACCUUUGCUCGUCCCUGAGCAAAGCUAAAAUCAGCAAGAAAUCAGGGUUACUUUUAUGCCUCUUACUACAGUGUUUUUAAGUUAUCACUAAGGUCUUAAGUGAUUGAAAAACAGAACGAUCAAGUCAAGCACUAUGUCUCAAGUUCUUUUGUCUUACCUUUGUUCUGGAGUUUUUUAUAAGUCUGCAAAAUAAAACUGAAGCAUUUGCCUUCUUCUCGAAAGAUAUAUAAGUAGAGCUUUAAAAGUUUUAGCAUACUUACUUUGCAUUUUGCUAUGUCAAUGCUCGAAGCAAGGGAGAGGAAUGUCAUACUCCUAGAUCAAGACCUUUGACCUUUUUGAGAAGUUUGUCAUCUCUUACUGGCAUAUUGCUUAUUAGAGGGACCAUGGGCUAUCUUUUUUUCUUUUUUUUCUCUUUUUUUUCAGUCUCUUUAUUUUUUUUUCAAGUGGGCAGCAAGUAUCCCUAAUUCUACUGUCGGACACAUGUCCAUUUUUUCCACUCAGGUUGGUAUCUUUGUACCCCUAAUUCUACUUCGGACACUUGUCCAUUUUUACCUCUCGUCUCACUCUUUUUUUUCUUUUGAAUCAAAUUUUUACAUAGUCCCAUGCCUCUAACGCAAUAAUACUUUGGAAGAGUGAAUCUUUUAUUUUUAAAACAAAAAGAUCUUGAUCUUUGAAGCAUGAUAAGUCUCUCAACCAAAACUACAAGAAUUAACAAUGGCUUGAACAGAGCAAGUGCCUAUAGUUUUAAUAUUUAUAUCUAUUAAGACUCUAGGUAUUAUGUCAAAUAGGAUCUCAUUUAUUUUUAGAUUUUCUGAAUUUUUAGAUUUUCAAAAGAUAAAAUCUCCAGAACUCUAGCAAAACUUGGAACAAGUUAAAUAGUAGCUUAGAUCUUCUCAUAUCAUGUUUGUCAAUUACCUAGACUUGGAUCAAACUUUCUUUUUAUUUUAUUUAAAACUUAGGAUUACACAAAACUAUUGUAUAUUACUCAAAAGAAAAACUUUGUUUGGUUUUAUGGUUAUGCAUUUUUUUAUUUCUGAAUACUAGUAAAUAAAACUAAGAAAGAAAAGUAAUACUUAUCUAGAUACACGUGGGGGUGCCUCCCCCAAGCUGGAUGUUGACAUAGUCGUUCACUCUUGUGGCCUGCAUGGUUGGUCUCACUCUUCUUAAGCCUCAAAAUCUUGCACAACCCAAAUAGACAACAAAACUCGUGGAGCAUGUUAAGGAUUAGGUAAUUAUCUAGAGCUUAUGAGAGCUUAAUAUGAGAAUUCUAUGAACUCAAUCACAUCAAGUUCCUCUACCAGGUUAUUUUGUGGCUCGAGAUAGAUUUUCAAGCGUUGACCAUUUACCUUAAAAGUGUUACCUAUGUCAUCUUGGAUGGUAAUGGCUCCAUGAGUUGAAGUGUCAAUAACCUUGUAUGGUCCAUCCCACUUACUUCGUAGCUUACCAUGCCCAAAGAGCUUAACUCUUGAAUUGAAUAGUAGAACCUUAUCUCCAGGCUUAAACUCCUUGUGCUUGAUUCUCUUAUCAUGCCAUCGUUUUGUUCUUUCUUUAUAGAUCCUUGAAUUGUGGUAGGCUUUCUCUCACCAUUCUUCUAGCUCAGAUAGUUGCAUCAGACGAUUCUCGCUAGCAAGGUGGUGAUCCAUGUUCCAUUUCUUGAGUGCCCAAUGAGCCUUAAACUCUACUUCCACAGGCAAAUGACAAGUUUUUCCAUAUACAAGUUGAUAAGGUGACAUGCCUAUGGGUGUUUUGAAUGCAGUUCUAUAUGCCCAAAGUGCAUCAGGAAGUUUGUCCUUCCACCCCUUACCCAUCUCAUCUAUGGUCUUUUGUAAAAUAUUUUUGAUUUGUUUGUUAGAUGUUUCGGCUUGACCGCUAGUCUGAGGAUGGUAUGGUGUUGCGACGUUGUGUCGAACUCCAUGAUCGGCUAGGUACUUCCGGAAGAUUUUAUCGAUGAAGUGGGAACCUCCAUCGCUUAUAACUAUCCGGGGUAUACCAAAGCGAGGAAAGAUUACUUCAUGGAACAUUCUCUUGGCAUGUUUUGAAUCAGCUGAUCGACAAGGUAGGGCUUCUACCCAUUUGGACACAUAGUCCACAGCUACUAAGAUAUACUCGCAAUUCCUGGACAUAGGGAAUGGCCCCAUGAAAUCAAUGCCCCAAACAUCAAAAAGUUCUACUUGAAGAUUAUUUGUGAGAGGCAUUUCAUUUUGUGAGUUAAUAUUCCCAUGUUUUUGACACCGGUGGCAUCUCCUGACAAAGUCCUUUGUAUCUUCAUACAUCGUUGGCCAGAAAAAACCACUUUGCCAAAUUUUAGCAUGUGUCCGAAAUGCUCCAUAGUGUCCUCCAUAUGGCGAGGCAUGGCAUCUUUCCAUAAUUUGAGUAGCCUCAGCCAUAGGAACACACCUUCUCAAGAGUCCAUCAGCGCA